GACGAACGCUGGCGGCGUGCUUAACACAUGCAAGUCGAACGGAAAGGCCCUGCUUUUGUGGGGUGCUCGAGUGGCGAACGGGUGAGUAACACGUGAGUAACCUGCCCUUGACUUUGGGAUAACUUCAGGAAACUGGGGCUAAUACCGGAUAGGAGCUCCUGCUGCAUGGUGGGGAUUGGAAAGUUUCGGCGGUUGGGGCUGGACUCGCGGCUUAUCAGCUUGUUGGUGGGGUAGUGGCUUACCAAGGCUUUGACGGGUAGCCGGCCUGAGAGGGUGACCGGCCACAUUGGGACUGAGAUACGGCCCAGACUCCUACGGGAGGCAGCAGUGGGGAAUAUUGCACAAUGGGCGGAAGCCUGAUGCAGCAACGCCGCGUGCGGGAUGACGGCCUUCGGGUUGUAAACCGCUUUCGCCUGUGACGAAGCGUGAGUGACGGUAAUGGGUAAAGAAGCACCGGCUAACUACGUG
rnacentral:rRNA from 1 species